GACGAACGCUGGCGGCGUGCUUAACACAUGCAAGUCGAACGGAAAGGCCCUGCUUUUGUGGGGGGCUCGAGUGGCGAACGGGUGAGUAACACGUGAGUAACCUGCCCUUGACUUUGGGAUAACUUCAGGAAACUGGGGCUAAUACCGGAUAGGAGCUCCUGCGGCAUGGUGGGGGUUGGAAAGUUUCGGCGGUUGGGGAUGGACUCGCGGCUUAUCAGCUUGUUGGUGGGGUAGUGGCUUACCAAGGCUUUGACGGGUAGCCGGCCUGAGAGGGUGACCAGCGACAUUGGGACUGAGAGACGGCGCAGACUCCAACGGGAGGCAGCAGUGGGGAAUAUUGCACAAUGGGCGGAAGCCUGUUACGACAACGCCGCGUGCGGGAUGACGGCCUUCGGGUUGUAAACCGCUUUCGCCUGUGACGAAGCGUGAGUGACGGUAAUGGGUAAAGAAGCACCGGCUAACUACGUG
rnacentral:rRNA from 1 species